rnacentral:rRNA from 1 species
UGUGGAAUAUUGCACAAUGGGCCGCAAGCCUGAUGCAGCCAUGCCGCGUGUAUGAAGAAGGCCUUCGGGUUGUAAAGUACUUUCACGCGGGGAGGAAGGGAGUACAAGUUAAUACCUUUGCUCAUUGACGUUACCCGCAGAAGAAGCACCGGCUAACACCGUG